rnacentral:misc_RNA from 1 species
GGGAGGCGAUGGCCGUGCGUGCGCGCGGGGUCGUAGACGGGGUCACCGAGGUCGAGCGUCGCGAGCGUCGUGACGGUGCCGGCGACGCCGAUCGCGCUCGAGACGUCGAGCUCCGGUAGGAGCGACCUCACGUACGCGCUCG